AAUCCAUAGGUUAAUGAGGCGAACCGGGGGAACUGAAACAUCUAAGUACCCCGAGGAAAAGAAAUCAACCGAGAUUCCCCCAGUAGCGGCGAGCGAACGGGGAGGAGCCCAGAGCCUGAAUCAGCAUGUGUGUUAGUGGAAGCGUCUGGAAAGGCGCGCGAUACAGGGUGACAGCCCCGUACACAAAAGCGCAUGUGCUGUGAGCUCGAUGAGUAGGGCGGGACACGUGGUAUCCUGUCUGAAUAUGGGGGGACCAUCCUCCAAGGCUAAAUACUCCUGACUGACCGAUAGUGAACCAGUACCGUGAGGGAAAGGCGAAAAGAACCCCGGCGAGGGGAGUGAAAAAGAACCUGAAACCGUGUACGUACAAGCAGUGGGAGCCCCACCACUAAGCCAGUGGUGAACUCCACAUACGCAUCCUUUGCUGAGGAGACGGUUAACGGAGCGAAAGCGACGUUCAACCUCAAAACAAGCAGAGGGGGCUUAGUGGUGGGGUGACUGCGUACCUUUUGUAUAAUGGGUCAGCGACUUAUAUUCUGUAGCAAGGUUAACCGAAUAGGGGAGCCGGAGGGAAACCGAGUCUUAAU
rnacentral:rRNA from 1 species